rnacentral:rRNA from 1 species
AUUGAACGCUGGCGGCAGGCCUAACACAUGCAAGUCGAGCGAGCGGCGGACGGGUGAGCUAUGUAUGGGAAACUGCCUGAUGGAGGGGGUUCACUACUGGAAACGGUAGCUAAUACCGCAUACCAUCAGAUGUGCCCAGAUGGGAUUAGCUAGUAGGUGGGGUAAUGGCUCACCUAGGCGACGAUCCGUACCUGGUCUGAGAGGAUGACCAGCCACACUGGAACUGAGACACGGUCCAGACUCCUACGGGAGGCAGCAGUGGGGAAUAUUGGACAAGGGGCGCAAGCCUGAUGCAGCCAUGCCGCGUGUGUGAAGAAGGCCUUCGGGUUGUAAAGCACUUUCAGUGGGGAGGCGUUACUCGCAGAAGAAGCACCGGCUAACUCCGUGCCAGCAGCCGCGGUAAUAC